rnacentral:rRNA from 1 species
UACGUAGGGUGCAAGCGUUGUCCGGAAUUAUUGGGCGUAAAGAGCUCGUAGGCGGUCUGUCGCGUCGGCUGUGAAAACUUGGGGCUCAACCCCAAGCUUGCGGGCGAUACGGGCAGACUUGAGUACUGCAGGGGAGACUGGAAUUCCUGGUGUAGCGGUGAAAUGCGUUGAGAUCGGAAGGAACGCCCGUGGCGAAAGCGAGGUCCUGGACGUUUUCUGACGCUGAGACGCGAAAGCUAGGGGAGCGAACGGG